CUCAGCAACAGCCGGGGCCAGCCCGCUAGUCCAUAUAAAUUCACAAUAUUUAUUAGACUACUAUAAAAAUAACUACACAGCGAGAUCUCGCUUACCGAGCUGUCUCGCCUAGCGGACCAGCCCGGCUUCCAUAUAUAAACAGGCCCUCACAUAGAUAGGCUACAAUUGCAGUAUUAGACCGAUAUAUAUAUAUACACACGGAGCUAUUGUGGCUUAUAAAGUACUAGUCAAUUGAAAGACUUUGACCCAAAAGCAUAUGCGGGAUUUUAACAGUGCUCUACCUUUGCAGGGGAGAUACAAGUUAAUAACAAAUGUCACUACUUUGAUGCCCAAUUGAACACAUGACAUAAAGAACAAGAUGCAUGCAUUUUUGUGUGUGUUUUGAUGUUAUGUACUCAGGUUAAUAUAAUGUUUUUGAUGCUACUCUGCAUGAGUGUAUAUCUACACCGGGCAGGCUGAAAAGUUAGCCUGACCACGGUGGGAAUCAAACCUGCG